rnacentral:lncRNA from 1 species
AUCCUAUGCCCGCACUCGGCAUCAAGUAGUUCUCGAUCUCUCUCUGUUGAAAGUUCAUAUCUCCAUUCUGGCUCAUGUCCCGAGUGUAGGCAAAGGUGAGGACUCGCUGAUGCCGAUGCAGAUGCCGAGUGCAGGCAUAGGUGAAAACUCCUUGAUGCCGAGUGCAUGUAUGAACUCUCAAGAGAAAGAGUUCUCAGGUAAUUUGGCUUUUCAGCCCUCAACAAGCUUUGGGAACCCUGAUCCUCGUAUGGUGUGUCAUGCAUAAUUUUUCAUUUAAAUUAAUGAUAAUGUUUUCUGUUAUUAUUUACUGAUGAUACAUGAAAUUUAUAUAUCAACAGUACAUCAAAAAUUACUGCUUGUAAAAAUUACUUGCUCUUCGUGC